AUCCAUGUAGCUUAUUGUUAGAGCAUUGAAUUGAAGAUUCAAAGGAAAUUAUAAAUUUUUGGAUA
rnacentral:tRNA from 1 species